CUCAACGCCCCCCCUUCCCACUCAUGGCAGCUAAUAAAGUUGAUAACUCGAGCACCAAAACACCGUCCGUGCAACUUGCUUCGACGACCAGAUGGAGCUGUUUCUGACUUUUCGGAGCUUGGGUUAAUCUCGCGGAGCAGUCUAAAAUGCAACCCAACUCACCUGCUGCGCUCUUCGUCCUCUUGACCAGCUGACUGCAUUUCCUAAAAGGACAGACCAUGGUCUCGAUAGAGCGGCAAAAUUAAAUUUCCAGAGCAGAACAUCCGCAACCUGGAGAGCUACUAAUGAAUGCGAGACUGAUGAUCAGUGAAGCAAACAGCUAAUUGAUCCAGGUGGACGACGAACUGUUGACACGGCUUCAAGCUCCAUGCACGUGAAUAGACAGUCAACUGACAAGGCUACCAAAUCUACAAAAAACUGUUGAGAUAAUACAAUGGAACCUUCAAAAUGAAACCCCAUAAAAAAAAAUUAAAAAAGCGACGCAUGAAGAGGGAGAUCGCUUUGUGUGCCUGGGAGCAGGGUACAACCUCGAGGAUGUAGGACAAUAAAGCAAAGACCACCAGGACGGAUUGAGCCAACAGCUUCACAGGAUGCCCGUGGUGCCUUUGGAAGGAAUGAACAAAGACACAAAAGGAAACCCGGCGAGAAAGCCUCGCUCGGCUGGAAGUCUGCAAUCACUACCGUGGCCAGCUUGGAAUGACAAAAUAAAGCAGAGCAGAGAUUUGGUUUGAACGAUCCAGGGAUGGAGAAGCAGGAAAUUGUGGAGGGCAGAACUCGUACAAUUAGGGAGGUUUUAUAAUAAUUCAAAUGCGGACAAUUCAGGUCAGACAAAUUUGUUUUUAUUUAUUGUAUCAACAUUUUGUGUGUCCGUGUGUGUGCGUGUGACCGAGAAUGCCUGAAAUUGAGGAAAAUUCAGAUCUGCUGAUAGUAGUGGAAUCCUACACUACCUUGGUUACUACUGCCCUCAUGUGGAUGUACAUGGUACUACAAAGCCCGGUUCUUGACUACUACUCCGAUUUUUAAAUUUAAAUUAAUCAAACGUAUUUUAUUUCAUGGCAGUCUUUUAACCUGCACACAUUUUUAGCGAGUUUUCUGGUUAUUACAGGAAUACUGUAUACUGCUCUAACUUGCCUAUCGUGUUUAUCUGAGUUUGAAUAAUUUAUACGUGCUCUGUGGUUGCCUGGCGACCAGUUUAGGGUGUACCCCGACUCACACUUUUUGUUGUUGUUUGUUUCUUCAGUAUUUACUGUAUUUCAUUUUGUAAUUUUCUUUCACUUUCAAAAGGACAAGAUCAGUUUGUUUUAUCAGUGCUUCAAUUCAGUGUGUAAAGCAACAUGAAAUAUUCUUGGAAUAAUUCAUAGGCAAUAAUCACAAUUCUAAAUCUUACUGAACUAAAUCUGGACAGGAUACGACGUUUAUCCGAGUGAGCCGCAUACGUAACAUGCAUGACUCUGUUAAAUUUGCAACUAAUGAUGAAAAGCAAGUAUAAUCCAAUGAACAUCUUCAAACGCGUCUAUCAUUUUUUUUGUAGUUACUAACAAGAAGUACCUUCUUCUCCUUUACAACCUCUUUCCGCAACCUCUUUCCCUCAGGCAGCAUGCCCCCGAUUCGGAUUUUUUGUCCCGGUUUGAAGAACAAACUGCUACUAUUUUGAUGUGAGCUGAAUGUGGAACAAGAGAAGCCAGCUCGUUUUUAAUUUUGUACAGUAGCACGGAAUGUUGAAUACAUGACAUUAAAA